rnacentral:rRNA from 1 species
CAGCAGCCGCGGGAAAACGGAGGGUGCAAGCGUUAGUCGGAAUUACUGGGCGUAAAGCGCACGCAGGCGGUUUGUUAAGUCAGAUGUGAAAUCCCCGAGCUUAACUUGGGAACUGCAUUUGAAACUGGCAAGCUAGAGUCUUGUAGAGGGGGGUAGAAUUCCAGGUGUAGCGGUGAAAUGCGUAGAGAUCUGGAGGAAUACCGGUGGCGAAGGCGGCCCCCUGGACAAAGACUGACGCUCAGGUGCGAAAGCGUGGGGAGCAAACAGGAUUAGAUACCCCUGUAGUCCCUGUCUCUUAUAC